GAAAUUCCUUGUCAACUAAUUAUUGACCUGCACGAAAGGCGCAAUGAUCUCCCUACUGUCUCAACAUUGGACUCGGUGAAAUUAUGGUACCAGUGAAAACGCUGGUUACCCGCAUCAAGACGACAAGACCCCGUGGAGCUUUACUAUAACUUCGUAUUGAAAAUUGGUUUAGCAUGUGUAGGAUAGGUGGGAGACUUUGAAGCUGGGACGCUAGUUCUAGUGGAGUCAACCUUGAAAUACCACCCUUGCUAAAUUGAUUUUCUAACCCGUUCCCCUUAUCUGGGAAGGAGACAGUGCGUGGUGGGUAGUUUGACUGGGGCGGUCGCCUCCUAAAGAGUAACGGAGGCGUUCAAAGCUACACUCAAUAUGGUCAGAAACCAUAUGUAGAGCGCAAAGGUAAAAGUGUGGUUGACUGUGAGACCUACAAGUCGAGCAGGUGCGAAAGCAGGACUUAGUGAUCCGGCAGUUCAUUAUGGAAUGGCUGUCGCUCAACGGAUAAAAGCCAC
rnacentral:rRNA from 1 species